rnacentral:rRNA from 1 species
GCCUUAUGACUGGCGCCGAUGCUCUGGCAACAGAGCGCCGGAUGCCGGAAAGUUGGUCAAACUUGAUCAUUUAGAGGAAGUAAAAGUCGUAACAAGGUUUCCGUAGGUGAACCUGCGGAAGGAUCAUUACCGAUGCAAUAAUCCAAAACAAAAACGACUCCGUCGUUUUGUAUACCGUGUGAACUGUACCCAACCAUUUAGGGGUCGGCUGGUCCGUUAAAUGGCGGUCGCGCGUGACUCGAUCGCGCGCGCUCCGCCAGCCCCGCCUGUGUUUUUUUAUCAACAUACGUUUAUACGAUCUGACAAACUGUGGCCGCUCUUCGGAGCGCGUCGCGAAUUGAGCAAAAAACGAGAUACAACUUUUGACGGUGGAUCUCUUGGCUCACGCAUCGAUGAAGAACGCAGCCAGCUGCGAUAAGUAGUGUGAAUUGCAGAAUUCAGUGAAUCAUCGAAUCUUUGAACGCAAAUGGCGCUCUUGGGUUCUCCCAGGAGCAUGUCUGUCUGAGUGUCGGAUUCAAUCCAUCGCACUUGGCGCUUGCCGACGAGUGCGGCGUUGAGGCGUCACGGCCGGCUUUGCUUUGGCCGUGUCCCUUGAAGGUCAGUGAGACUCGCCGUGGCAUGGGUCAUCUCCCUGCACACUCGCGGAGGCUAAAAACUGUUUUGCCCUUCGCGUGCUCGGAGCGGCCUGCCCGGCGGGACGCAGAGGCGAUCAAAAAGACAACACUCUUGACCUCAGAUCAGGCAAGGCUACCCGCUGAAUUUAAGCAUAUUAAUAAGCGGAGGAAAAGAAACUAACAAGGAUUCCCCCAGUAACGGCGAGUGAAGCGGGAACAGCUCAAAUUUGAAAUCUCCGGUGCUUGCACCGGCGAGUUGUAGUUGCGAGAAGUACUUUCUAGGUGGAUCGGUCGUGCCUAAGUUGCUUGGAACAGCAUGUCGCAGAGGGUGACAACCCCGUCUGUGGCGCGACCGGCCGC